AUGUGUGUCCCUAAAAUCUGAGAAGGAAUGGGAUUCCUUGAAAUCCCCAGUUUUAAUUUGGCUGUGCUUGCCAAACAGUGUUGGCAGCUAAUUGAUAAUUAUGACUCCCUGUGUGCUAAAGUUUUGAGAUCAAAUUACUACCUCUCUAAUGACUAGCUAAAUUGCGCACUAAAAAAGGGUUCAUCCUAUGUAUGGCAAAGCAUUUAUUUAGAAAUCCAGACACUAAAAAAAGACGUAUUUGAAGAGUUGGAAAAGGUUUGA
rnacentral:rRNA from 1 species